GACGAACGCUGCGGCGUGCUUAACACAUGCAAGUCGAACGGAAAGGCCCUGCUUGCAGGGUACUCGAGUGGCGAACGGGUGAGUAACACGUGGGUGAUCUGCCCUGCACUUCGGGAUAAGCCCGUGAAACUGGGUCUAAUACCGGAUAGGAGCCAUUUUUAGUGUGAUGGUUGGAAAGUUUUUUCGGUGUAGGAUGAGCUCGCGGCCUAUCAGCUUGUUGGUGGGGUAAUGGCCUACCAAGGCGGCGACGGGUAGCCGGCCUGGGAGGGUGGACGGCCACAUUGGGACUGAGAUACGGCCCAGACUCCUACGGGAGGCAGCAGUGGGGAAUAUUGCACAAUGGGCGCAAGCCUGAUGCAGCGACGCCGCGUGGGGGAUGACGGCCUUCGGGUUGUAAACUCCUUUCGCUAGGGACGAAGCUUUUUGUGACGGUACCUAGAUAAGAAGCACCGGCUAACUACGUG
rnacentral:rRNA from 1 species